AGAAGAGAACACAAAAGGCGGGAGCGACCGACCACGUUUUUUUUUGGUUUUUUGUUUUUCCACCGGCUUCUUCUUCUUUCUUUUUUCUUCAUUUCAUUCAUAUCAUU
rnacentral:ribozyme from 1 species